UUGACUCCGAAAUGAGAAUCGUUAUGAUUAUCACAACUGGUCGCGAGACCGGUUGGGUAACCUGAAUGCUCCCUGGUUCGGACGCUCAGAUUAUCUCCUCAUCAGGCUAAUCACGGUUAUUGACCCGGCUUUUUGCCGGGUCUUUUUUUG
rnacentral:sRNA from 1 species